GGCCAACCAGCCCAAGGAACAUCUCACCAAUUUUAUAUCCGGUACCCACUGGAAAUUGGACUCUCCAACUCACCCGGCAGCCACUCCCAGAGCCACUGGAACUCUGGCCCAACGCUCUCUGACUGACUCCUUCCCAGAUCAUCUCAGCUUAGCGGCUGAAGAUUGAUGCUGCCCAAUCACCUCAGAAGCUUCCUGGACCAUCACAUACGCUUUGGGUAACUCUUACAGUGGAGGGCAUCUACCUCUUCCCCAAAUCUAGUUCCUUCUGCCCUCUGUGUGGAGAAGACUACUGGGCCUUAAGCUCCUGAAGGAAUCACAGCAUUGGAGCCAGCACAAGCAGCACUUCCUAGAAAUCUCCAAGGCUUCAGAGCUGAUCACACUUGGCUAGGGCUGAGCCCAAGUUCCAUGGAAAGAAACCUUUACAAGGUGCCAUGGCACCUGCCUUAAAGAGGGCAGGCACCCUCAUCAGGGCAGGCAACUAAUAGGAGUCCCUGGCAGCUUGGGAGUUGGAAACAAAUCUUAGAAGACAGACUGAAACUAAUAGCUAAUAGUUUUUGAUUACUUGGUAUAUGUCCAGCCCUGUUCUAACUGCUUUAUAGAUAAUUAUGCAUUGAUUCUGUGAAACACUCUUAUAAGGAAGGUACUGUUAUCUCCAUUUUAUAGGCAAGGCAACUGAGGCACAGAGAGGUUACAUUGGUGGUAGAAUACGGAACAACAUUAUGAAGCUAGACAAUCUGUCAUCAGAUCCCAGGUUCUUUUUUUUUUUUUUCUUUUUUUGAGACGGAAUCUCGCUCUGUCACCCAGGCUGGAGUGCAGUGGCGCGAUCUCGGCUCACUGUAACCUCUGCCUCUUGGGUUCAAGCAAUUCUCCUGCCUCAGCCUCCCAAGUAGCUGGGAUUACAGGCAUGUGCUGAUCCCAGGCUCCUAACCACUAGGCACACGACAUGUACAUGAGUCCCCUCUCCUGAAUCUCCACUUCCAGAUUUAGUCCUUCACUCAGGACCUGGUUCCUGAUGCCUGCAGGGUUUUUAGUGUUUUGCUGCAGUCGGGCUCUGGGACAGUGUAGCCUUAGGGCAUAGAGCAAGGAGAGAGCCCCUCCAAUGAAUCUGCAGGAGGGCCAGGAUAGGAAAGGAGGGAGGGCAGCAAAAGCAAAUACCUGGAAGCAGCUAGUAAGAUAACAGAACAGCGAGAAUCCUCUCCUCCCCAGGCAAUACACCUGCAUCCCCCACCUCUCCCAAGUACACAGAUAUGCAUGCACUCGCAUGCACAUACAUCUGUGCUCAAUUAUUCCAGUGGAAGGGCAGAGCAGGGCUGCCAGAGAAGAGAUUGCUUGUCAGUGAAGGAGUUUGGCAGAUGUGCCCUCCAGCUCUGUUUUUGAAAGAAGCCAGAGCUUUGGGGGCUGGGUUACCUGCAGAACUCCAGGAGCUUAGAGAGUGCCUCCAGAGAGGGCAGAUGCUGAGAGGACCUCGGGCUGCGCUGCAGGAUAGGCUCAUUCAAAACUCUGUGAGCCAAGCUUUGUGGACAGCCUCCUGGACUCUUCUUGAUCAAGUUCUAAGACUCCAUUCUGGAACCUUCCUAAGGCAGGCUUAGUGGCAAUUUUUCUCUUGGCCCUGAUUAUUCUGCAGAAACCCCUCCAUCUUCUCAAUCAGUGGGCUACCUGAAAACAGAACUCAGUCUUCAUCAGUUCCUUAGGCUUUGACUCCUCUGCAUAAAAAUAGUCUUGGUGACCCCUCAGUUUUCCAAGAAUAAGCUGGCUAAACAUGAAAGCAAGGUCUUCCCAUAGUGCUUCUCUCCCAAAAGCUCACUGUACUGUGUGGUUAGAACCUGUCUACCUCACAUCAUCAGACAUCUCUGCAAUUGGCACCUACUCUUCUAUUUUUAUUCUUACUUUUACAGGCUCGCGUGUACUUAUGCGACUCAGUUCACUAAAAUAAGGAUGGUACUGUCCUGUAUAUCUCCUAGAAGUUUUGAAAAUCUGAUGAGAUAAAGUCCUGUAUGCCCUUGUGAAGUACACGAAGUGCUCUAUGUGCUAGAAAACACAUCCAUCUCACCCACCAGCCUGUUAGCUUCUUGUCUGAGUGUUCCCUUCCUAGUGCCCAACAGAGUACUUUGUACAUAGUAGACUCCCAAUAAAAUGGCUCUUCAUUAAUUCAAGAUAUGACUGGGAGGAAGUGCAGCAUUUUAGGAUUGCAAAUGACUAUCAAGCCUCUGUUACUGUGAGUUGCUUCAUGGCCCACGCCUUGGACUAGGCCCUACCCGUAGUCCCCAAGAGCAUCAUCAGAUGACACAAGUGAAGCCAACUUCACAACUUUUUCUUUAGAAGGGUACACUGGGAGUAGGGCUAUGCUGGGCUAUGAGGAGAUUGCGUUAAGGCCCUGUCUCUCCCCUCAUUAAUAACAAGGAGGUGGGAAUGAGAGCAAUACCUGGGACCAACACUGUGAUGGUAGAAGGUGAGGGAAGACAGAAGAAGGCAUGGGGACUUUGGGACUCUAGCUUCUUGUUCAUUCCAAACUAUUUCAGAUCCAUUCGAUGUAAGCAGAAUGAAGGGAGAAGGCUGAGUGGGACCAUCUCCCUCUAGCAGCAGGCAGACAGCCUAAGACUCAGAGAGGGGAAAUGAUCACAGCCCCAUAGACCUGCAGGAGCCCUUUGAGGCCACCUCCUUCAGUUUAUAGUUGAGGCCCAGAAACCUGAAGUAAUUUUAUCCAAGGUCAAGAACCAGGGAAGGACACAGCCAUGACUGGAACCCAGGCAGCCCAGCUCAUAGAUCAGGCUUUGAUUCCCUACCCUCACACAAAGGGAAAUGGUUCUUUAUUAUUCCAUAUGCCUUAACCAGUUUGACCUUCACAGCAAGCCCAGUAGUCAGGCAAAGGGCCAUCAUUCCCAUUUUAUACCAGAGGAAUCUGGGGCCCAAACAGAUUUUUUCA
rnacentral:lncRNA from 1 species